rnacentral:rRNA from 1 species
CAGUAGCCACGGUAAUACGAAGGGUGCAAGCGUUAAUCGGAAUUACUGGGCGUAAAGCGUGCGUAGGCGGUUUGUUAAGUCUGCUGUGAAAUCCCCGGGCUCAACCUGGGAAUGGCAGUGGAUACUGGCAAGCUAGAGUGUUUCAGAGGAUGGUGGAAUUCCCGGUGUAGCGGUGAAAUGCGUAGAGAUCGGGAGGAACAUCAGUGGCGAAGGCGGCCAUCUGGGACAACACUGACGCUGAGGCACGAAAGCGUGGGGAGCAAACAGGAUUAGAUACCCCCGUAGUCCCUGUCUCUUAUAA